rnacentral:rRNA from 1 species
AUACAUGAAUAAUCUGCCCCUUUGUUUGGGAUAACAGUUUGAAAAGACUGCUAAUACCGAAUAGGUAAUCUAAAGGCAUCUUAUGAUUAUUAAAGGUGGGUUUCCAUCGCAUUGGGAUGAGUUCAUGCCGCAUUAGUUAGGUUGGUAGGGUAACGGCCCACCAAAGCUAAGAUGUGUAGCCGACCUGAGAGAGUGAUCGGCCACAUUGGGACUGAGACACGGCCCAGACUCUACGGGAGGCAGCAGUAGGGAAUCUUGCGCAAUGGGCGAAAGCCUGACGCAGCGACGCCGCGUGCGGGAUGAAGGCCUUAGGGUUGUAAACCGCUUUCAGCAGGGACGAGGCCGCAAGGUGACGGUACCUGCAGAAGAAGCCCCGGCUAACUACGUGCCAGCAGCCGCGGUAAUACGUAGGGGGCAAGCGUUAUCCGGAUUCAUUGGGCGUAAAGCGCGCGUAGGCGGUCUGUUAGGUCGGGAGUUAAAUCCGGGGGCUCAACCCCCGUCCGCUCCCGAUACCGGCAGACUUGAGUUUGGUAGGGGAAGGCGGAAUUCCAAGUGUAGCGGUGGAAUGCGCAGAUAUUUGGAAGAACACCGGUGGCGAAGGCGGCCUUCUGGGCCACAACUGACGCUGAGGCGCGAAAGCUAGGGGAGCGAACAGGAUUAGAUACCCUGGUAGUCCUAGCCGUAAACGAUGGACACUAGGUGUGGGGGGAAGUGCCCUCCGUGCCGCAGCUAACGCAUUAAGUGUCCCGCCUGGGGAGUACGGCCGCAAGGCUAAAACUCAAAGGAAUUGACGGGGGCCCGCACAAGCAGCGGAGCAUGUGGCUUAAUUCGACGCAACGCGAAGAACCUUACCAGGUCUUGACAUCCAGUUAACUUGUAGAGAUACAAGGUGUGCUGCACAAG